CCUUCCUCUGCAUUCACGAUUUACCCUAAUUCAUUUUCCUUCUUGACAAUAUUAGAUUAUGGAAAGAUUUAUUUUUGAUUGGUGCUUCUUCCAUAAAUAAUAUCUAGCUCUUAGUAUAAAUAGCAGUCAUCUUCAUUCAUUUCCUCACACCCAAAAAUUUAUCUAUCGAGCUCUCCGAGUGAGGAACGGCGCGCGAGACUUGAUUUUUAAUUGCGAGUUUUUGCACAAGAAAGGUUAAGGUGGGGUUAUAACGUUGCAUUUAACAUUUAUCCUUAUUAUACGUUUUACUCAAUUUAUAUGUGUGAGAAGCAGGCAGAGCCUCCGGGCUAUGAGACAGAAAGUUAUAGCCUAUGGGCUAUAAGAGACAGAAAGUUAUAGCCUACGGGUUAUAUGAGAAAGAAAGUUAUAGCCUACGGGCUAUAUGAGAUAGAAAGUUAUAGCCUACGGGCUAUAUGAGACAGAAAGUUAUAACCUACGGGUUAUAUGAGAAAGAAAGUUAUAGCCUACGGGCUAUAUGAGACAGAAAGUUAUAUAGCCUUCGGGCUAAGAGACAGAAAGUUAUUGCUUUCGGGCAAUAUGAAAGAGCAGACAGUUUUUAUUGCACUUAUAUUUUGUUGUGAUUCUUAUAAUAUGGAUAAAUGCACCCCACUGAGUUUAUUGUACUCACCCCAAAACAAUAUCUUUUUCAGGAGAUGACUCGGGCGAUGAGAGGCGGGGCGAGUGAUGGUCAAGAUAAAGAAGAAAUAAUGUUUUAUUUUCAAUUGGAAUAAAGACUCAGUUUAUGAUGUUUAUUUA